rnacentral:lncRNA from 1 species
UGAGUUGGUGGAGGAGUUAGUGCAAUGGCUGGUGGUGGUGAUUGAUUAGGAGGUGCUACGGUUGGUGUUGGUGGUUGAGUUGGUGGAGGCACUGGGGGCUGAGUUGGUGGAGGAGUUGGUGCUAUGGGUGGUGGUGGAGGUGAUUGAUUAGGAGGUGCUAUGGGUGGUGAAGGAGGUGCUUUGGCUGGUGGUAAUGAUUGAGGAGGUGGUGUUUGGGCUGGACAAGGAGGUGGUGGAGAAGGAGGUGCUUUGACUGGUGGUGAUGAUUGAGGAGGACGUGUUCUGGGCGGACGAGGAGGUCCCAUGGAAAAUGGUGGUAGCUUAGGAGAAGCUCUGGCUGCUGCAAGAGAAAUAAUUGAAGGGUUUCCAUGGUUCACCUGCACCAAAAUUGAAUGCCAUAUUUCUAAUAAGAAAAAUGCUAACAUCUGUCGCUA